UGCCCAAUACGACAAAUCAAAGAUUUGAGCAUAGCAAACACACAACCUAAAGUGCAAUAUGGUAGAUUUAGGAGAGCAGAAAACCCUUUCUUAGAACAA